rnacentral:lncRNA from 1 species
CAUGAACAAUCACUCUGUGAAUCUGAAUGAAGCUUGAAUCGCGAUCAACUCUUUGAUCCUUUUCUUGAUCUUUUUCUUCUCUUCUUUUCUUGUUCUCCUUUUUUUGAUUAUGAAGCAACCAAGAUAUGAAAACCAACCACCAAGUGGGAUGCCUAAGCUCUUUUUGGGCAUGGAGAUGGAGGAUGCCCAAAGGGGAACUAGAAGAGAGAAGAGAAUUAGGCGUGGAGAGACUUUUGGGAGGCAUGGGGCUGCUAGAAAUCUGAUGCUUAGAGCCUUAGAAAAAGAUCCUUUAAAUAAGUAAAGGUUUAAAUCCUAUUCAAAAUCAAAUAGCCCCUUAAUACAAGUCCUACUUACAUUAGGAAUCCUUGUAGCCUUAGAUAUUGGAUCCUUUUUAGGAGAUCCAUGAGGCGCCAACUAUUGGAGCCUUUUCACACACUUUCUCACACACCACAUGGGGCUUAAGGGAUGCCCCAUGCUGGUCCCAUAUGCCCUCUAUCAUAUGGGUACGUCCAACUUGAUCAAAUCAAGUGGCGCCCCAAUGCAAACAAUCAAAAAAAUUGAUUAAGGAUUUGAACCCUUAAUGCAUAUGAUCCAAAAUCCUAGGCACCC